AGUGAACGCUGGCGGUAGGCCUAACACAUGCAAGUCGAACGGCAGCACAGUAAGAGCUUGCUCUUACGGGUGGCGAGUGGCGGACGGGUGAGGAAUACAUCGGAAUCUACUUUUUCGUGGGGGAUAACGUAGGGAAACUUACGCUAAUACCGCAUACGACCUACGGGUGAAAGCAGGGGAUCUUCGGACCUUGCGCGAUUGAAUGAGCCGAUGUCGGAUUAGCUAGUCGGCGGGGUAAAGGCCCACCAAGGCGACGAUCCGUAGCUGGUCUGAGAGGAUGAUCAGCCACACUGGAACUGAGACACGGUCCAGACUCCUACGGGAGGCAGCAGUGGGAAAUAUUGGACAAUGGGCGCAAGCCUGAUCCAGCCAUACCGCGUGGGUGAAGAAGGCCUUCGGGUUGUAAAGCCCUUUUGUUGGGAAAGAAAAGCAGCAGGUUAAUACCCCGCUGUUCUGACGGUACCCAAAGAAUAAGCACCGGCUAACUUCGUG
rnacentral:rRNA from 1 species